rnacentral:misc_RNA from 1 species
AAGACUAUAGACCUGCGGAGUACCUGCGGAAGGAUCAUUACCGAGUUCUCGCCCCUCGCGGGGUAGACCUCCCACCCACUGUGAUCACUACCGUCGUUGCUUUGGCGGGCCGCUGGGCCCAGCCCACCGCCGGCCCCGGCUGGCGCGUGCCCGCCAGAGGCCCUACAAACGCUGGAUAUCAGUGCCGUCUGAGUACACAUGUUAAUCGUUAAAACUUUUAACAAUGGAUCUCUAGAUCGG